rnacentral:rRNA from 1 species
AACAAACGCUGGCGGCGUGCCUAAUACAUGCAAGUCGAACGGGGAAAGCUUUCGGGUGAGUACUAGUGGCGCACGGGUGAGUAACGCGUGGAUAAUCUGCCUUAGAGUGGGGGAUAACUAGUCGAAAGAUUAGCUAAUACCGCAUAAGACCACAAGAACUGCGGUUCAAGGGGUCAAAGGUUUUUCGCUCUAAGAUGAGUCCGCGUAAGAUUAGCUAGUUGGUAGGGUAACGGCCUACCAAGGCGACGAUCUUUAACUGGUCUGAGAGGAUGAACAGUCACACUGGAACGGAGACACGGUCCAGACUCCUACGGGAGGCAGCAGUAGGGAAUAUUGCACAAUGGAGGAAACUCUGAUGCAGCGACGCCGCGUGAGUGAUGAAGGCCUUCGGGUCGUAAAGCUCUGUCGCAGGGGAAUAACACAAUGAAGGUGCCCUGUAAGAAAGGAUCGGCUAACUUCGUGCCAGCAGCCGCCGUAAAAC